rnacentral:rRNA from 1 species
CUAUGUGGCUAAACCUCCUUGUCAAAGCCUGAUCUCAUUAAAUCUCAGAGGUUAAGCAGGACUGGGCCUGUAGUAAUUGGAUGGGAGGUCACUAGGAAUACCAGGUACCACAGAGG